rnacentral:rRNA from 1 species
UACGUAGGGUGCAAGCGUUAAUCGGAAUUACUGGGCGUAAAGCGUGCGCAGGCGGUUGUGCAAGACCGAUGUGAAAUCCCCGGGCUUAACCUGGGAAUGGCAUUGGUGACUGCACGGCUAGAGUGUGUCAGAGGGGGGUAGAAUUCCACGUGUAGCAGUGAAAUGCGUAGAGAUGUGGGAGGAACACCGGAUGGACGAAGGCAGCCCCCUGGGUCAAGAUUGACGCUCAUGCACGAAA